CUAGUAUUUAGGUACUAGUGCAGCCUAGGCCCCUUUUCUCAGGGAUAGCCUAACAUCUGACCGCACCCUCUUUGCUUUUUAAAAAAUGCCUUUUCACUCUUUAAGAUAAAUCCUCUAUUAUACAAUCUGCCACUAAUUGUGUGUUAAGACUGUUUUUCUCUCGAAAGCUGAUGCAUCCUGCUCUCAACGUGGUUUAGAAAGUGGGCUGUUACAGUGCUGGAUUAAUAAAAGGGGCCUUUAUGGUUUGUGAAAGAAUAUCUCUGUGCUUAGGCAGGAAACUUUUUGAUCCACAGAAAAGCCAGACGACAUCUAGCAAUAUCGAUAUGGAACAGCCUUUUCGCACCUUCCCUGCCCCCUGCCCCCAGCCUUGA
rnacentral:lncRNA from 1 species